UGAAGAAAUUCUGCGAAUUAAAAUGCACAAGCCAAAAGAAAUAAUACCAACUGAAAGGAUAAGGGUUGGCUCUCUAUAGAACAUAAAUUAUUUAUUUUUAUUUAUUUUUUGUUUUUGCAUUUUUGAGGAAAAAGCAUCGUUACGGACGUGACAGAUCUGAAAUCGGCACUUGCCUGACUGUGGAAAAUCAGAUAAAAUGCUUUAAAAACUUUAACAGAGACCUAUUUGUCGGUCUCUGCUGGCUAUUUAAACCAACAAACUUUUACCUUUGAGACAUCAGUACGGUAAGGCUCCACAAUUAAUCAAAUUAACACUGAAAUCACUGUGUUAUAGAUUAGCCUAUGUCCACGCGGAUCUCUCGUGCUGUUAAAUGCGUGUGCAUGUUCAAAACUCAAUUCGGACAUGAUACUGCUUGCUAAUGUGGUGUUUACUUUAGACCCCGGAACAUAUAAAAUUUCUAAGAUACAUCUAUUAAAUAUCAUAUUGUUAAGUUCCGGAGAUCGCCGGUUUCCUCUCAGUCCACGGUUAGAUGAAUUGAGACAUUGUCCGAUUGUAUAAGUGUGUAGGCCUGUGUCUAUAUAGGACAAACCGUGUGGAGAAUGGUAUGCAAAACACAAACGUGUCACAAUGAUCGCAAUAGGCCUAAUAUGUUUUGUGUCAAAAUGAUCACACUGUUUAUACCCAUUUUGCGUGGCUGAAUGUGCAAUCUUGAGUAAAAAUAGCUGCGUUAUGAUUGUCAAAAUAAUUGCAAUAUUAGCCAAUGCAUUGUAAGAAUAAGAAUAACCGACAUGUUAUACAUUGUCUCAAAAUCAAAAUUAAUACUUUCAUUUCAUUUAUGCAUGUUUUACCGAGUUUAAUAAUGGCUAGCAUUUGGAUGUUAUGAAGAUUAAGCAGUAAAACUAUGUGUGAAAGUCCAAAAAAAGGUGAGCAUAAAGUGCACUGCACACAAUAUUUUAUUUUAUUGUUUACUGUGAACAUGUCUAAUAAAUAAUUGAAAAAAAAAAAUUCUACAAAGGUCAACAUUUCUAACUGAAUAUUAUUGACCAAAACAGAUGUCCAGGAAAGACUGCCUCUUCAAAGUGAUACCUCCCUCUGUUGUCUACUUUUGGGUUGAAAGUAUUAAUCACUUGGUCAGGUGUCACCCAAGCUUUAUCUUCCAUCACAGCUGCUGACUGGAGCUCAGAGGACUGGUGUCCAGAACUUUCAGCAGAUGUGAUUUCUGGAAGCAGAAAUGUAUGGACACCUGACUGUUCUGCCUCGGAGUAGAUUUUAUGUCGCACUUCUCCCCAUGAGACUGGCUCAAU